AGCUAGUUGGUAGGGUAAUGGCCUACCAAGGCGACGAUGGUUAGCUGGUCUGAGAGGAUGAUCAGCCACACUGGAACUGAGACACGGUCCAGACUCCUACGGGAGGCAGCAGUGAGGAAUAUUGCGCAAUGGGGGCAACCCUGACGCAGCAACGCCGCGUGAGUGAGGAAGGUUUUCGGACCGUAAAGCUCUGUCGAGCGGGAAGAAAUGCAUGGUGGCUAAUAUCCAUCAUGCUUGACGGUACCGCUAAAGGAAGCACCGGCUAACUCCGUGCCAGCAGCCGCGGUAAUACGGGGGGUGCGAGCGUUGUUCGGAAUUAUUGGGCGUAAAGAGCGUGUAGGCGGCCGAAUAAGUCAGAUGUGAAAUCCCUGGGCUUAACCCAGGACGUGCAUUUGAAACUAUUCGGCUAGAGUAGGGGAGAGGAAAGUGGAAUUCCUGGUGUAGAGGUGAAAUUCGUAGAUAUCAGGAGGAACACCGGUGGCGAAGGCGACUUUCUGGCCCUAUACUGACGCUGAGACGCGAGAGCGUGGGUAGCAAACAGGAUUAGAUACCCUGGUAGUCCACGCUGUAAACGAUGUUCACUAGGUGUUGGGGGUAUUGACCCUCUCAGUGCCGCAGCUAACGCA
rnacentral:rRNA from 1 species